GGCAGUCCUAGACGUUCAGCGCGUGGAGAAGUAAGCCAACCGGAAGUUGGCGUACCCUGGGGGACUGUUGGCCUACCCUAUUAGGUCAGCGCGCACGUCUAUCAUUGUGGCCUCUUUAAUGCUUGCAAUCCUGCAUGCAAGACUGGGGCUGUAAUGGUAUGACAGAGGAGUGACAGGUACGCGACCUGUCACCGGGUGAGUCAACAAUGAAAAAUAAGUAUUAACUGAACUAUGCAGAGUUGAUUACCUUAUGCUAUAUUAUUAGAAACUUGAAAGUAGUGUAAAAAUCAUUGAAAUCGAACUUAAAUCUAGUGGACGAAACUUCUACAUAUCUACAACCAGAAUCGGUAACCUAAAUUGUGCCUCGUUGCCCCACUUCAUUGCUACACAAAGGACAGUUUCCUACUAUCAAAACCGGACUACCACUAAUUUGCUUUGAACGGACACAAUGUUACACAAAGGGAACUAAACGUAAGUAAACAUUGUUACAGUUAAGGUCCUUUACCCUAUGAGAGAGGCUCUAGUAGGUAGAGAAGGUGAGCGCC